GAACUUUCUGCUAGCUCUCUAAAGGAAUGAAAAUAACCUUGGGUUCUCACUAAGCAUCAAUUCUGUGACUGGCUCUGUGGGGUAGAGAUGAAAAGGCUCACUCAGUUCCAGCCCCUGCAGAUCCCCCAGGACCCUGGCGGCAGCAGAUCUAUGAGCCCACAUUUCCCCCUGCUUGUGAGGAUCACACCAAGAGAGACAUUCACAUCCUGGCCUCACAAAGAAGAGAUGGCAAAGUGGAAAAAGGCUGGAGUCCCCAACCCUGAGCCCUUUACCCUGCCUCAGUCUUUUAUAAUGAGGUGUGUGUGCUUGGGCAAUGCCUCUCUCUUCUGGGACUCAGUGUACCCAUCUCUGCUGUGGGGAGGUUGGACUAGAUGAGAGUUUCCCAAACUCCAGUUGUUUCUUUCCCUCCCUCCACACCUGGAGAUCAGAACACCUGUACUAAAAAGUACUGAAAAUCUUUAUUCAAAUGAGCUCACUUUUUUUCAACCAAAAUAAACUUAUUUUAGA
rnacentral:sRNA from 1 species